UACGUAGGGGGCGAGCGUUGUCCGGAUUUAUUGGGCGUAAAGAGCUCGUAGGCGGUUGGGUAAGUCGGGUGUGAAAACUCAGGGCUCAACUCUGAGACGCCACUCGAUACUGCCCUGACUCGAGUCCGGUAGGGGAGCGUGGAAUUCCCGGUGUAGCGGUGAAAUGCGUAGAGAUCGGGAGGAACAUCAGUGGCGAAGGCGGCCAUCUGGGACAACACUGACGCUGAAGCACGAAAGCGUGGGGAGCAAACAGG
rnacentral:rRNA from 1 species